CAACCACUGGGCACACACGAACACACACACACAAUCCGAGAAGAGAAGCAGUCUCGGAGGUUGUCAUUAGCAACCGUGCUGUGACCUUUUUUUCUAAAGAUGCUGUAAUGACUCAGAUGCAAGUUACAAUACUGCCACGCAGUGAGGAAAUAUUUCUGCAGUUUGCUGAAAUGGAGAUAAACAGGAAUAUGAUGUUUUGAAAAUCAGAUUCAGCUUUGUAACAACCCAGAAUGAGUCAUCUAAAGAUUUUGGUCAUAAAGGUAUGGACAUGAUGAUGUGAACACAUCCUACUCUUCUCCUCAUCAUUCUUCUGCUUGUUACCAAGCAACAUGACGAUCACAUAAAGGCUGAGGGAAGAGAGGAGCCAGAGAGAGAACAUGUGUGGGCAGAAGAGAAAGAUAAGUGAAAAUAAAAGG